UACGGGGGGAGCAAGCGUUGUUCGGAUUUACUGGGCGUAAAGGGCGCGUAGGCGGUCAGCACAAGUCAGUUGUGAAAUCUCCGGGCUUAACUCGGAAAGGUCAACUGAUACUGUGCGACUAGAGUGCGGAAGGGGCAACUGGAAUUCUUGGUGUAGCGGUGAAAUGCGUAGAUAUCAGGAGGAACACCGAUGGCGAAGGCAGUUCUCUGGGCCGUAACUGACGCUGAGGAGCGAAAGCGUGGGGAGCGAACAGG
rnacentral:rRNA from 1 species